rnacentral:rRNA from 1 species
CCCUUAGAUGUUCUGGGCCGCACGCGCGCUACACUGAUGCAUUCAACGAGUCUAAAACCUGGUCUGAUAGGGCUGGGUAAUCUUUUGAAAGUGCAUCGUGAUUGGGAUAGAUGAUUGCAAUUCUUCAUCUUCAACGAGGAAUGCCUAGUAAACGCAAGUCAUCAGCUUGCAUUGAUUACGUCCCUGCCCUUUGUACACACCGCCCGUCGCUCCUACCGAGUGAAUGAUCCGAUGAAUACCAUGGAUUGAGAGUACGAAUGGGUUCGCUCAUUUCUGCUGCUCGAGAAGUGGAGUAAAUCUUAUCAUUUAGAGGAAGGAGAAGUCGUAACA